rnacentral:rRNA from 1 species
GAUGAACGCUGGCGGCGUGCCUAAUACAUGCAAGUCGAGCGAACGGACGAGAAGCUUGCUUCUCUGAUGUUAGCGGCGGACGGGUGAGUAACACGUGGAUAACCUACCUAUAAGACUUGGAUAACUUCGGGAAACCGUAGCUAAUACCGGAUAAUAUUUUGAACCGCAUGGUUCAAAAGUGAAAGACGGUCUUGCUGUCACUUAUAGAUGGAUCCGCGCUGCAUUAGCUAGUUGGUAAGGUAACGGCUUACCAAGGCAACGAUGCAUAGCCGACCUGAGAGGGUGAUGGGCCACACUGGAACUGAGACACGGUCCAGACUCCUACGGGAGGCAGCAGUAGGGAAUCUUCCGAAAUGGGCGAAAGCCUGACGGAGCAACGCCGCGUGAGUGAUGAAGGUCUUCGGAUCGUAAAACUCUGUUAUUAGGGAAGAACAUAUGUGUAAGUAACUGUGCACAUCUUGACGGUACCUAAUCAGAAAGCCACGGCUAACUACGUG